rnacentral:rRNA from 1 species
AUUGAACGCUGGCGGCAGGCCUAACACAUGCAAGUCGAACGGUAACAGGAAGCAGCUUGCUGCUUUGCUGACGAGUGGCGGACGGGUGAGUAAUGUCUGGGAAACUGCCUGAUGGAGGGGGAUAACUACUGGAAACGGUAGCUAAUACCGCAUAACGUCGCAAGACCAAAGAGGGGGACCUUCGGGCCUCUUGCCAUCGGAUGUGCCCAGAUGGGAUUAGCUAGUAGGUGGGGUAACGGCUCACCUAGGCGACGAUCCCUAGCUGGUCUGAGAGGAUGACCAGCCACACUGGAACUGAGACACGGUCCAGACUCCUACGGGAGGCAGCAGUGGGGAAUAUUGCACAAUGGGCGCAAGCCUGAUGCAGCCAUGCCGCGUGUAUGAAGAAGGCCUUCGGGUUGUAAAGUACUUUCAGCGGGGAGGAAGGGAGUAAAGUUAAUACCUUUGCUCAUUGACUUACCCGCAGAAGAGCACC